AUUUUAAGGUCUAACUUGACAAUCCUCUUUCCAGAAAACCCGACAUAAACCUAGUAAUUUAUAGGAUCUACAUCUGGGAAUAUUAAUGUCACAUUAUUCAAAAACAGGAUUUGUUGCUCCCCAAACGAACAUGGUGGAUGGACCCCACUGUGCCUGCGUCCCCCAAAGGCAAUGUGGGGAGAGCCAGUCAGUCAGUGAGUGAGUGAGUGAGCAGGUAAGAGAGCCAGUGAACAGUGAGAGUGCCUGCCUGCCUCCCUGCCUGCCAGCCUGCCAGCCUGACCUGGCAUGUGUUUAUUGUUAUUGUUGGUGUGUUUCAAGAUCGCGUUCUAAUGCGGUGCGUGGAACAGAGAGGGGGCUAAUGCUUGGGGCCAGAACGAACGAUAGAGACGUACGUACGUACUACGUACGUAGAACUUGCUUGCACUUUGCUUGCCAAAAUCCACAAACAACAAAGGCCUGCCUCCUUUGUUUACAUUCGUUCUUUGUCUGGAGUGUUGCAUGGCGUUUGGAAAGUCAUGCUGCAAUGUGUUACCUGCCUUGUUGGUGGGUCUACCACCCUCCAGGCGUCCGACCCUCCCCCUCCCCCUCCCCAGCGCCCUUUGUUACGCCUUCUUGGA